AUUGAACGCUGGCGGCAGGCCUAACACAUGCAAGUCGAGCGGAUGAAGGGAGCUUGCUCCUGGAUUCAGCGGCGGACGGGUGAGUAAUGCCUAGGAAUCUGCCUGGUAGUGGGGGAUAACGCCCGGAAACGGGCGCUAAUACCGCAUACGUCCUGAGGGAGAAAGUGGGGGAUCUUCGGACCUCACGCUAUCAGAUGAGCCUAGGUCGGAUUAGCUAGUUGGUGGGGUAAAGGCCUACCAAGGCGACGAUCCGUAACUGGUCUGAGAGGAUGAUCAGUCACACUGGAACUGAGACACGGUCCAGACUCCUACGGGAGGCAGCAGUGGGGAAUAUUGGGCAAUGGGCGAAAGCCUGAUCCAGCCAUGCCGCGUGUGUGAAGAAGGUCUUCGGAUUGUAAAGCACUUUAAGUUGGGAGGAAGGGCAGUAAGUUAAUACCUUGCUGUUUUGACGUUACCAACAGAAUAAGCACCGGCUAACUUCGUG
rnacentral:rRNA from 1 species